CAGUAGCCGCGGGAAUACGAAGGGUGUAAGCGUUAAUCGGAAUUACUGGGCGUAAAGCGUGCGUAGGCGGUUUGUUAAGUCUGCUGUGAAAUCCCCGGGCUCAACCUGGGAAUGGCAGUGGAUACUGGCAAGCUAGAGUGUGUCAGAGGAUGGUGGAAUUCCCGGUGUAGCGGUGAAAUGCGUAGAGAUGUGGAGGAACACCAGUGGCGAAGGCGGCCAUCUGGGACAACACUGACGCUGAGGCACGAAAGCGUGGGGAGCAAACAGGAUUAGAUACCCCCGUAGUCCCUGUCUCUUAUAC
rnacentral:rRNA from 1 species